GUCUUUUUGAUUAUAAUAUAAGGUCUAAUCUGCCCAUUGAUAUUUUAAAAGGCCGCAGUAUUCUGACUGUGCAAAGGUAGCAUAAUAAUUAGUUUUUUAAUUGAAAGCUGGAAUGAAUGAUUUGAUGAGAAAAAUACUGUCUCUCUAUUAUUAUAUAAAAUUUUAUUUUUAAGUAAAAAAGCUUAAAUCAUAUUAAAAGACGAGAAGACCCUAUAGAGUUUUAUAUAAUAAAAUAAUAUUAUUUUUUUUUUAUUUUUUUUUAUUAUUUAUAUAUAUUUUGUUGGGGUGACAGUUAAGUUUAUUAAACCUUUUUAUAAUAAAAACAAUAAUAAUUGGUUUAUUGAUCCUUUAAAAGAUUAUUAGAUUAAAUUACCUUAGGGAUAACAGCGUAAUUUUUUUGGAGAGUUCAUAUCUAUAAAAAAGUUUG
rnacentral:rRNA from 1 species